rnacentral:rRNA from 1 species
GGAGAAGGCUAUGUUAGCCGGGCGACGGUUGUCCCGGUUUAAGCAUGUAGGCUGAUUGUCCAGGCAAAUCCGGAUAAUCAAGGCUGAGGUGUGAUGACGAGGCACUACGGUGCUGAAGUAACAAAUGCCCUGCUUCCAGGAAAAGCCUCUAAGCAUCAGGUAACAUCAAAUCGUACCCCAAACCGACACAGGUGGUCAGGUAGAGAAUACCAAGGCGCUUGAGAGAACUCGGGUGAAGGAACUAGGCAAAAUGGUGCCGUAACUUCGGGAGAAGGCACGCUGGUGUGUAGGUGAAGUCCCUGCGGAUGGAGCUGAGACCAGUCGAAGAUACCAGCUGGCUGCAACUGUUUAUUAAAAACACAGCACUGUGCAAACACGAAAGUGGACGUAUACGGUGUGACGCCUGCCCGGUGCCGGAAGGUUAAUUGAUGGGGUUAUCCGUAAGGAGAAGCUCUUGAUCGAAGCCCCGGUAAACGGCGGCCGUAACUAUAACGGUCCUAAGGUAGCGAAAUUCCUUGUCGGGUAAGUUCCGACCUGCACGAAUGGCGUAAUGAUGGCCAGGCUGUCUCCACCCGAGACUCAGUGAAAUUGAACUCGCUGUGAAGAUGCAGUGUACCCGCGGCAAGACGGAAAGACCCCGUGAACCUUUACUAUAGCUUGACACUGAACAUUGAGCCUUGAUGUGUAGGAUAGGUGGGAGGCUUUGAAGCGUGGACGCCAGUCUGCGUGGAGCCAACCUUGAAAUACCACCCUUUAAUGUUUGAUGUUCUAACGUUGGCCCCUGACCGGGGUUGCGGACAGUGUCUGGUGGGUAGUUUGACUGGGGCGGUCUCCUCCCAAAGCGUAACGGAGGAGCACGAAGGUUAGCUAAUCCUGGUCGGACAUCAGGAGGUUAGUGCAAUGGCAUAAGCUAGCUUGACUGCGAGCGUGACGGCGCGAGCAGGUGCGAAAGCAGGUCAUAGUGAUCCGGUGGUUCUGAAUGGAAGGGCCAUCGCUCAACGGAUAAAAGGUACUCCGGGGAUAACAGGCUGAUACCGCCCAAGAGUUCAUAUCGACGGCGGUGUUUGGCACCUCGAUGUCGGCUCAUCACAUCCUGGGGCUGAAGUAGGUCCCAAGGGUAUGGCUGUUCGCCAUUUAAAGUGGUACGCGAGCUGGGUUUAGAACGUCGUGAGACAGUUCGGUCCCUAUCUGCCGUGGGCGCUGGAGAAUUGAGGGGGGCUGCUCCUAGUACGAGAGGACCGGAGUGGACGCAUCACUGGUGUUCGGGUUGUCAUGCCAAUGGCACUGCCCGGUAGCUAAAUGCGGAAGAGAUAAGUGCUGAAAGCAUCUAAGCACGAAACUUGCCCCGAGAUGAGUUCUCCCUGAGACUUUAAGUCUCCUGAAGGAACGUUAAAGACGAUGACGUUGAUAGGCCGGGUGUGUAAGCGCAGCGAUGCGUUGAGCUAACCGGUACUAAUGAACCGUGAGGCUUAACCUU